AAACUUAUCUGGCAGGGGAGAUACCAUGAUCACGAAGGUGGUUUUCCCUGGGCAAGGCUUAUCCAUUGCACUCCAGAUAUGCUGACCCCUGCGAUUUCCCCAAAUGUGGGAAACUUAACUGCAUAAUUUGUGUUAGUGGGGGACUGCGUUCAUGCUUUCCCUUG
ensembl:snRNA U1 U1 spliceosomal RNA